UACGUAGGGGGCUAGCGUUGUCCGGAAUCAUUGGGCGUAAAGAGCGUGUAGGCGGCCCGGUAAGUCCGCUGUGAAAGUCGGGGGCUCAACCCUCGAAUGCCGGUGGAUACUGUCGGGCUAGAGUGCGGAAGAGGCGGAGUGGAAUUCCUGGUGAUAGCGGUGAAAUGCGCAGAUAUCAGGAGGAACACCGAUGGCGAAGGCAGGUCUCUGGGCCACUACUGACGCUGAGAAGCGAAAGCAUGGGGAGCGAAACAGG
rnacentral:rRNA from 1 species